AUCAGAUAGAGGGCUCUCCGCCCUCUGCUUCCCCUUUUCGAGGGAUACAGGAUGACUGGCCCAAGUGGGCCGCCCGAUCGCCAGAUUCUGAAACUCUGACGAUUCUCUUUCCAGUCGCACAGAUGCCUGCGGCUGCUGCUGCUAUUGCAUGGUCUUCACCGCUUCGGUGAGGCCCCUGACCUGCUGAACCAACAGGUCAAACUGCUCCAUCCCG
rnacentral:lncRNA from 1 species